AGGUAAAAACAUUUGUUAGGAGGGAAGAGUUGGCUGAGAGGUGCUGUGCUGGGAGGAUACCGUAUGCAGAAGGAGCUAAAUGCAAGCUGACUGGGCAGAGGCAGGAUGCACAGAGGGAAGGAGGACUAGAAGCGUGACCUCGUAGGUCCUGAGCAGGACUCGAUCCUCAGUCUGAGGGCACAGGGAACAGGGCUGUUUCCAGUCUGCAGGUCAACAGAGGGGCAUGUUGGUGGCCUUUGCACUUGGCAGAGGAUCACCUUGUCUGUUGCGUGGACAUAGAGGGUCUUGCCGAAGGACUGUCUGCGAUGGGCUCUGGGCAGGUGACAUGGAGGACAGUUACUGGGAUCCAAAGUGAGAGAAGGAGGAGUCAUGGUUUUCUUUAAAAAGAAGCAGAAAGAAGGUUUCCAAAUGCCAGCUAGGUGCAAUGGACUUCUGCAGCUUGCAGCCAACAAACUUUGAUCAGAGCAUAUGGAAACUGUAUGAAGUUGCAUCACAGUAAAAACAGAAAGCUACGGGUGCUUCCUGCACAGAUGGCGCCCAUAUGGAAUUUGUUGAAUUCUACAGCUGCUAUUAAACCAACCAAGAAGAGCAUCUCUUUGGAGAAGCAUUUCUACCUUCCUGAACUAAUGCUUCUCAUCUUGACCUUGACCUCUACACAGACCUUGGUAUUUAAGGACACCUGUGGUCUGUGGUUGUACUAACCACAGAACCUGAUCUCCUGCGUGGCUGUAAGCCAGUGCAUUUCUCCGGUGCUAAUGGCAUGCUUGGAUUCAUAAAAGAUAGGCUUCACACAAGCUCUUUGGUCUGCAUUUUUGUCAUUGUGAAUAAGAAAACAUGAGUGGAAAAACUGAAAUGUGCUGAGGGCCCUCAACAUACAACCUACAUGCUUUGUUAUUGCACAUCUGUAAUAAGUAAGAAGUCUCGCCUUAUCUCGUGGCGAAAUCUCCCCUGACUCCAUGGAAACUAUUGCUGUGAGAUAAUCUCAGGCCUUGAUUAUGGUUCCAGUUAUUUGAUGUUGACUGAAAUAAAGUCUCCUUAUAUUUUAACAACUGAAAGACAGAAGCAUCACUGACCUUUGAGGCAAGGUGCAGAGACUUCGGUGUGCACAAUUUUAAGAAAUCCUGUGCAAAAAAAAAAAAGAAAGAAAGAAAGAAAGAAAGAAAGAAAGAAAGAAAGAAAGAAAGAAAGAAAGAAAUCCUGUGCAACCAGCAUGCAUGGGGCAGUUACAUGGAAAACAUGGACAUUGGUGGCCCCAAAUGCAAACAUUCCUGGGAGUCACUAGUCACAAAUGGGAAGAAUCAUGGACGUGCUCAUUGAUUUCACUCAGGCUUUCCAAUUACAUAUGGCCUGGUGUGCUAUAUUAUUUUUUAAAAUCUAUCCAGAUAAGAAUAAAUGAGCUCUUUUGAUAAAUAAAUAAAUAAAUAAAUAAAUAAAUAAAUAAAUAAAUUCAAUCAAUAAAAAAUCUAAUGAGAAAAGAUUGUAUCUUUUUACCAGGACUUUCUGCUCACUAUGCUCAUCUUAUCCCCUCUUGUGUUUAUUCUCUCCUUGAAACUUGAAAUAGUGUCUAGUUUUGUUAUUGUUAUUAUUGCUAUUUGUUGUAAAGGGGCUUGUGAUGAAGGGGGUGAAGGAAUGAAUGAAGACAUUAGUAGAUGAUACAGAUUUCAGACUCUGUAAGCACAACUGCUGGUGGGAGAGCAAACUGGCACAGCCACUCUGGAAACAGAGUGGAGGUUCCUCAAAUAAUUAAAGAUGGAACUACCCUACAAUCCAGCAAUUCUUCUGAGUAUUUAUUCAGAGGAAACAAAAUCUCUGUCUCAAAGAGGUAUCUGCAUUCCCAUGAUCAUUGCGAGAUUGUCAAAAAACAGCCAAAGAGUGGAAACAACCUGUGUGCAUUGAUGGGUGAAUGGAUGGAGAAAACACAGCAUAUAAAUCUAUGUGUAGAUGUACAGAUACAUGUAUAUGUUAUAUGUAUGAGUAUAUAUAUAUGUGUGUGUGUGUGUGUGUGUAUUUAUAUAGAUAUAUAAACAGAGAGAGAUAAUGGAAUAUUAUUCAGCCAUAAAAAAUAAAAAAGAAGGAAGUCCUGUCAUUUGCGAUGUGGGUAGCCCUUGAGGGCAUCAUGCUACAUGAGAUAGGUCAGCAAAAGAGACAAAUAUUGUAUACUCUUAGUUAUUUUGUGGAAUCUAAAAAGAAAUCAAACUCAUAGGAAUGGAACA